CAGCCGCCGCGGUAAUACGGAGGGUGCAAGCGUUAAUCGGAAUUACUGGGCGUAAAGCGCACGCAGGCGGUCUGUCAAGUCGGAUGUGAAAUCCCCGGGCUCAACCUGGGAACUGCAUUCGAAACUGGCAGGCUAUAGUCUUGUAGAGGGGGGUAGAAUUCCAGGUGUAGCGGUGAAAUGCGUAGAGAUCUGGAGGAAUACCGGUGGCGAAGGCGGCCCCCUGGACAAAGACUGACGCUCAGGUGCGAAAGCGUGGGGAGCAAACAGGAUUAGAUACCCGAGUAGUCCCUGUCUCUUAUAC
rnacentral:rRNA from 1 species